AACGUAGGACGCAAGCGUUAUCCGGAGUUACUGGGCGUAAAGGGCAGGCAGGCGGCCCGAUAAGUUGGGUGUGAAAUCUCCCUGGCUUAACCGGGAGAGUGCAUUUGAGACUGUCGGUCUGGAGGGCAGCAGAGGAGCGUGGAAUUCCGGGUGGAGUGGUGAAAUGCGUAGAGAUGUGGAGGAACACCGAUGGCGAAGGCAGCCUUCUGGGCCAACACUGACGCUCAUGCACGAAAGCGUGGGGAGCAAACAGG
rnacentral:rRNA from 1 species